rnacentral:rRNA from 1 species
UACAGAGGUCUCAAGCGUUGUUCGGAAUCACUGGGCGUAAAGGGUGCGUAGGCGGCGUAAAAAGUCAGAUGUGAAAUCCGGAGGCUCAACCUCCGAAUUGCAUCCGAAACUUUUAUGCUUGAGAGUUGUAGAGGAGCUUGGAAUUCUCGGUGUAGCAGUGAAAUGCGUAGAUAUCGAGAAGAACGCUCGCAGCGAAAGCGGGGCUCUGGGCAAUUUCUGACGCUGAUGCACGAAGGCUAGGGGAGCAAACGGG